rnacentral:rRNA from 1 species
GUCUACGGCCAUGCCACCCUGAACAUGUCUGAUCUCGGAAGCUAAGCAGGUUUGGGCCUAGUUAGUACUUGGAUGGGAGACCAACUAGGAAGACUGGGUGCUGUAGACA